CUCUUCGGGGAUGAUUAAACCGGCGCACGGGUGAGUAACACGUGAGUGACCUGCCUUUUAGACUGGAACAACUUACCGAAAGGUGAGCUAAUGCCGGAUGAGUUAUAUAAGUGCAUGUUUAUAUAGGAAAAGUUGGGGAGACCUGACGCUGAAAGAUGGACUCGCGUCCCAUUAGCUAGUUGGUAGGGUAAUGGCCUACCAAGGCGACGAUGGGUAGCCGGCCUGAGAGGGUGGCCGGCCACACUGGGACUGAGACACGGCCCAGACUCCUACGGGAGGCAGCAGUGGGGAAUUUUGCGCAAUGCUCGUAAGAGUGACGCAGCGACGCCGCGUGAAUGACGGAGGCCUUCGGGUCGUAAAGUUCUUUCGACAGGGAAGAAAAUGCCUAUAAGUAACUGUGUAUGUAUUGACGGUACCUGUAUAAGCAGCCCCGGCUAACUCCGUGCCAGCAGCCGCGGUAAUACGGAGGGGGCGAGCGUUGUUCGGAGUGACUGGGCGUAAAGAGCACGUAGGCGGUGUUGUAAGUCAUUAGUCAAAGACUAGAGCUCAACUUUAGUAAGGCUAGUGAUACUAUAAUACUAGAGUAUCAGAGAGGAUUGCAGAAUUCCUGGUGUAGCGGUGAAAUGCGUAGAUAUCAGGAGGAAUACCGUUAGCGAAGGCGGCAAUCUGGCUGGAAACUGACGCUGAGGUGCGAAAGCGUGGGUAGCAAACAGGAUUAGAUACCCUGGUAGUCCACGCUGUAAACGAUGGAUGCUAGGUGU
rnacentral:rRNA from 1 species